UACGAAGGGGGCUAGCGUUGCUCGGAAUCACUGGGCGUAAAGCGCACGUAGGCGGACUCUUAAGUCGGUGGUGAAAUCCUGGAGCUCAACUCCAGAACUGCCUUCGAUACUGGGAGUCUUGAGUCCGGGAGAGGUGAGUGGAACUGCGAAUGUAGAGGUGAAAUUCGUAGAUAUUCGCAAGAACACCAGUGGCGAAGGCGGCUCACUGGCCCGGUACUGACGCUGAGGUGCGAAAGCGUGGGGAGCAAACGGGG
rnacentral:rRNA from 1 species